GGGACACGUGAUAUCCUGUCUGAAUAUGGGGGGACCAUCCUCCAAGGCUAAAUACUACUGACUGACCGAUAGUGAACCAGUACCGUGAGGGAAAGGCGAAAAGAACCCCUGUGAGGGGAGUGAAAUAGAACCUGAAACCGUGUACGUACAAGCAGUAGGAGCAGGCUUUGUCCUGUGACUGCGUACCUUUUGUAUAAUGGGUCAGCGACUUAUAUUCAGUGGCAAGGUUAACCAUCUAGGGGAGCCGUAGGGAAACCGAGUCUUAACUGGGCGUUCAGUCUCUGGAUAUAGACCCGAAACCAGGUGAUCUAGCCAUGGGCAGGUUGAAGGUUGAGUAACAUCAACUGGAGGACCGAACCGACUAAUGUUGAAAAAUUAGCGGAUGACUUGUGGCUAGGGGUGAAAGGCCAAUCAAACCUGGAGAUAGCUGGUUCUCCCCGAAAGCUAUUUAGGUAGCGCCUCGGACGAAUACUACUGGGGGUAGAGCACUGUUAAGGCUAGGGGGUCAUCCCGACUUACCAACCCUUUGCAAACUCCGAAUACCAGUAAGUACUAUCCGGGAGACACACGGCGGGUGCUAACGUCCGUCGUGGAGAGGGAAACAACCCAGACCGCCAGCUAAGGUCCCAAAUUACUACUAAGUGGGAAACGAUGUGGGAAGGCUCAGACAGCCAGGAUGUUGGCUUAGAAGCAGCCAUCAUUUAAAGAAAGCGUAAUAGCUCACUGGUCGAGUCGGCCUGCGCGGAAGAUGUAACGGGGCUAAGUAGUAAACCGAAGCUGCGGCAAUAUACUUUUGUAUAUUGGGUAGGGGAGCGUUCUGUAAGCGGUUGAAGGUGUGUGGUAACGCAUGCUGGACGUAUCAGAAGUGCGAAUGCUGACAUGAGUAACGAUAAAGGGGGUGAAAAACCUCCUCGCCGGAAGACCAAGGGUUCCUGUCCAACGUUAAUCGGGGCAGGGUAAGUCGACCCCUAAGGCGAGGCCGAAAGGCGUAGUCGAUGGGAAACGGGUUAAUAUUCCCGUACUUCUUACAAUUGCGAUGGGGGGACGGAGAAGGCUAGGUGGGCCUGGCGACGGUUGUCCAGGUUCAAGUGCGUAGGCUGAGAGAUUAGGUAAAUCCGGUUUCUCUUAAGGCUGAGACACGACGUCGAGCACCUACGGGUGUGAAGUCAUUGAUGCCAUGCUUCCAGGAAAAGC
rnacentral:rRNA from 1 species